rnacentral:rRNA from 1 species
AUUGAACGCUGGCGGCAUGCUUUACACAUGCAAGUCGAACGGUAACAGGUUAAGCUGACGAGUGGCGAACGGGUGAGUAAUGCAUCGGAACGUGCCCGGUCGUGGGGGAUAACGCAGCGAAAGCUGCGCUAAUACCGCAUACGAUCUGAGGAUGAAAGCGGGGGACCGUAAGGCCUCGCGCGAUCGGAGCGGCCGAUGUCAGAUUAGGUAGUUGGUGGGGUAAAGGCUCCCCAAGCCAACGAUCUGUAGCUGGUCUGAGAGGACGACCACCCACACUGGGACUGAAGCACGGCCCAGACUCCUACGGGCGGCAGCAGUGGGGAAUUUUGGCCGAGGGGCGAAAGCCUGAUCCAGCAAUGCCGCGUGCAGGAAGAAGGCCUUCGGGUUGUAAACUGCUUUUGUACGGAGCGAAAAGGCCUCCUCCAAUACAGGGGGCUCAUGACGGUACCGUAAGAAUAAGCACCGGCUAACUACGUGCCAGCCGCCGCGGUAA